rnacentral:rRNA from 1 species
GACGAACGCUGGCGGUGUGCUUAACACAUGCAAGUCGAACGGAAAGUGCCUGCUUUUGUGGGGUGGUCGGGUGGCGAACGGGUGAGUAAUACGUGAGUAACCUGCCCUUGACUUUGGGAUAACUACAUGAAACGGGGGCUAAUACCGGAUAGCAGCUCCUGCUGCAUGGGGGGGGGUGGAGAGUUUCGGCGGUUGGGGCUGGACUCGCGGCUUAUGAGUUGGUUGGUGAGGUAGUGGCAUACCAAGGCGUUCACGGGUAGCGGGCCUUAGAGGGUGACCGGCCACAUUGGGACUGAGAUACGGCCCCGACUCCUACGGGAGGCAGCAGUGGGGAAUAUUGCAGAAUGGGCGGAAGCCUGAUGCAGCAACGCAGCGUGCGGGAUGACGGCCUUCGGGUUGUAAACCGAUUUCGCCUGUGACGAAGCGUGCGUGACGGUAAUGGGUAAAGAAGCACCGGCUAACUACGUG